GAACAUACCUAAAACGUUGCUUCGGCGGGAACAGACGGCCCUGUAACAACGGGCCGCCCCCGCCAGAGGACCCCUAACUCUGUUUUUAUAAUGUUUUUCUGAGUAAACAAGCAAAUAAAUUAAAACUUUCAACAACGGAUCUCUUGGCUCUGGCAUCGAUGAAGAACGCAGCGAAAUGCGAUAAGUAAUGUGAAUUGCAGAAUUCAGUGAAUCAUCGAAUCUUUGAACGCACAUUGCGCCCGCCAGUAUUCUGGCGGGCAUGCCUGUUCGAGCGUCAUUACAACCCUCAGGCCCCCGGGCCUGGCGUUGGGGAUCGGCAGAAGCCCCCUGUGGGCACACGCCGUCCCUCAAAUACAGUGGCGGUCCCGCCGCAGCUUCCAUUGCGUAGUAGCUAACACCUCGCAACUGGAGAGCGGCGCGGCCAUGCCGUAAAACACCCAACUUCUGAAUGUUGACCUCGAAUCAGGUAGGAAUACCCGCUGAACUUAAGCAUAUC
rnacentral:rRNA from 1 species